rnacentral:rRNA from 1 species
UACAGAGGGUGCGAGCGUUAAUCGGAAUUACUGGGCGUAAAGCGCGCGUAGGCGGCUUUGCAAGUCGGGUGUGAAAUCCCCCAGGCUUAACCUGGGAACUGCAUUCGAGACUGCAUUGCUAGAGUAUGGGAGAGGGAAGUGGAAUUUCCGGUGUAGUGGUGGAAUGCGUAGAUAUCGGGAGGAACAUCAGUGGCGAAAGCGGCACCCUGGCAUUAGCCUGACGCUCAUGUGCGAAAGCGUGGGGGAGCGAACGGG